rnacentral:rRNA from 1 species
UAGUAACGGCGAGUGAAGCGGGAUGAGCUCAAGCUUAAAAUCUCCAUACAAUUUUUGUAUGGCGAAUUGUAGUCUAUAGAAGCGUGGUCAGUGUAGGCACUUGGGGUAAGUUCCUUGGAAAAGGACAGCAUGGAGGGUGAUACUCCCGUUUAUCUCUAAGUUGCUUAUACGUACGACCCGUUUUCUUUGAGUCGCGUUGUUUGAGAAUGCAGCGCAAAGUAGGUGGUAAAUUCCAUCUAAAGCUAAAUAUUGGUGCGAGACCGAUAGCAAACAAGUACCGUGAGGGAAAGAUGAAAAGAACUUUGAAAAUAGAGUUAAAGAGUACCUGAAACUGCUGAAAGGGAACCAAAUCGUUUCCAGUGUCUAUAAUCCGUGGUAUAUCACAUCGGCGAGCGUGUGCGUGUGUGUGCUGUUGUAGUGGCCUUUUGGUUACGCUCGGCGUAUGUGCUGUAUAUGCUUGCUGGUGCCCUGUACUGCGGUGGGACGUCAAGGUCAGUUCGUAUGCUGCGGGAAAUGACUACCAAGGAGGUAGGGCUUACGCUUGCGUUUGUCUGUUAUAUCUUGGUAGACGAGUAGUCGCGGUUGGGACUGAGGUGCCUACAACGUGCUUUUGAGUGGGCUUGGGUCUUCGUGUGCGCCGUGUGCGGAUAGCUUGCUAUGCGUGUGUGGUUGUGUAUGGAUUGAUG